rnacentral:rRNA from 1 species
GACGAACGCUGGCGGCGUGCUUAACACAUGCAAGUCGAACGAUGAAAGUGGAGCUUGCUCCGCUGGAUUAGUGGCGAACGGGUGAGUAACACGUGGGCAACCUGCCCCAGACUCUGGGAUAACUCCUCGAAAGAGGUGCUAACACCGGAUACGAACUCCUUGGGCAUCCUUGGAGUUGGAAAGUUUUUCGGUCUGGGAUGGGCCCGCGGCCUAUCAGCGUGUUGGUGGGGUAGUGGCCCACCAAGGCGACGACGGGUAGCCGGCCUGAGAGGGCGACCGGGCACACUGGGACUGGGACACGGCCCAGACUCCUACGGGAGGCAGCAGUGGGGAAUAUUGCGCAAUGGGCGAAAGCCUGACGCAGCGACGCCGCGUGAGGGAUGACGGCCUUCGGGUUGUAAACCUCUUUCAGCAGGGAAGAAGCGAAAGUGACGGUACCUGCAGAAGAAGCACCGGCUAACUACGUGCCAGCCGCCGCAGUAA